rnacentral:rRNA from 1 species
CGGUUGAUCCCGCCGGACCUGACUGCUAUCGGAUUGAUACUAAGCCAUGCGAGUCAUUGUAGCAAUACAAGGCAGACGGCUCAGUAACGCGUAGUCAACCUAACCUAUGGACGAGAAUAACCUCGGGAAACUGAGAAUAAUGCUCGAUAGAACACUAUACCUGGAAUGGUUUGUGUUCCAAAUGAUUUAUCGCCGUAGGAUGGGACUGCGGCCUAUCAGUUUGUUGGUGAGGUAAUGGCCCACCAAGACUAUUACAGGUACGGGCUCUGAGAGGAGUAGCCCGGAGAUGGGUACUGAGACACGGACCCAGGCCCUAUGGGGCGCAGCAGGCGAGAAAACUUUGCAAUGUGCGAAAGCACGACAAGGUUAAUCCGAGUGAUUUGUGCUAAACGAAUCUUUUGUUAGUCCUAGAACCACUAACGAAUAAGGGGUGGGCAAGUUCUGGUGUCAGCCGCCGCGGUAAAACCAGCACCUCAAGUGGUCAGGAUGAUUAUUGGGCCUAAAGCAUCCGUAGCCGGCUCUGUAAGUUUUCGGUUAAAUCUGUACGCUUAACGUACAGGCUGCCGGGAAUACUGCAGAGCUAGGGAGUGGGAGAGGUAGACGGUACUCGGUAGGAAGGGGUAAAAUCCUUUGAUCUAUUGAUGACCACCUGUGGCGA